rfam:Vigna angularis cultivar Jingnong 6 chromosome 8, whole genome shotgun sequence.
CACAAGCCAAGGUAUUGGCGCGCCUCAAUUUGAAGACAUGGUUAACAAGAAAACCAACCAUGUGGUUUUAAUUGAGCCGCGUCAAUAUCUCAUCUUGCACU